UCCAGGAGCUGCGGCUGCGGGAUCCGGGCGCGGCCGUGGAGGAGCAGCUGGAGGGAGCCCGGCGCCGCCUCAGCCAACUGCAGCUGAAAAUCCUGCAGGAAUCGCAGGGAUCCGCGGUAAUCCCGGAAUUCCGGGAACCCCACCCUCAGUCCCGCUUUAUUCCCACUUUUUCCCUCUUUUUUCCCACUUUUCUCCCAUUUUUUCCCAUUUUUUUCCCAUUUUUUUCCCAUUUUUUUCCCAUUUUUUUCCCAUUUUUUCCCCAUUUUUUUCCCAUUUUUCUCCCAUUUUUUCCCAUUUUUUCCCAUUUUUUUCCCAUUUUUUCCCAUUUUUUCCCAUUUUUUUUCCAUUUUUUUCCCAUUUUUUCCCAUUUUUUCCCAUUUUUUUCCUGCUUUUUCCCACUUUUUCUUGCUUUUUUCCCACUUUUCCCCAUUUUUUUCCCAUUUUUUCCCACUUUUUCCCAUUUUUUCCCAUUUUUUCCCAUUUUUUCCCAUUUUUUUCCUGCUUUUUCCCUCUUUUUUCCCAGUUUUUCCCACUCUUUCCCACUUUUUUUUGCUUUAUUCCUACUUUUUCCUCCUUUUUUCCCAUUUUUUUCCCACUUUUUCCCAUUUUUUACCACUUUUUUUUACUUUUUCUCACUUUCUCCGAAAUUUUUCCCACUUUUUUUUGCUUUACUCUCACUUUUUUCCCACUUUUUCCAGAAUUUUCCCCAAAUUCCCAGAAUUCCCUCCAUUCCCGCCUUGGGAAUUCCCGGGAUUCCUCCCGGAAUUCCCGGUUUUUCCCAGGAUCCGGGGUCCCCGCGGCUCCGGGCUGGAUUUUCCGGGAAUUCCCAGGACGGGGAGGAGGGGCCGGAACCCGAGCGGAUCCCAAAGCCCGGAGAGAGCAGCUCCAGGAAGGAGAAGGAGCAGAAGCAGAAUCCGAUCCUGAAAUACAUCGGGAAACCCCGGGGCGGCUCCCAGAGCGGUGAGUGACGCCGGAAUUCCCGGAAUUCCCGGAAUUCCCGGCAUUCUCCGGCCCCCAGGGGUUCCCAGGGAUUGGUUGGGGAGAGGGGGAAUUUCGGAGAAAUUUGGGGAAUUUUUGGGGGAUUUUUUGGGAAUUUUUUGGGGAAUUUUUUGGGAAUUUUUUGGGAUUUUUUAGGGGAUUUUGGGGGGAUUUUUUGGGAAUUUUUGGGGGAUUUUUUGGGAAUUUUUUAGGGGAUUUUUGGGGAUUUAAUUGGGAUUUUUUAGGGAAUUUUCCAGGGAU
rnacentral:lncRNA from 1 species